rnacentral:lncRNA from 1 species
CUCACAGCCUCUGCCUCUGAUGUCCUAGUCUGAACUUUCUUUUUCCAUUAAUAUGAAAGGCAUUGUCUUUUUUUUUCCCCCCUCUUCUUCUUCUUCUGUCUGGUGCUGGGGAUCAGUACAUGUUCUUGCACAUGAUAGGCAAGCACUCUACCAGAGCUACCCAUCGCACCCCCCAGCCCUUGCCUUUCCUUCUCAGUGUUUAGACAUUCGACCUUCCACUUGGAAAUUUUCUGCCUAUUCUUGAGUUACACCGAUCUUAACCAAUUUCUUUUGGGAAUGAAAUAACUCCACAGAAGAAUGUUAAGGUAAAAUCACCUCCAAAGUAUUCUCAGAGAGACAUUGGAGAGAGCUAUAUAUUUUAGGUGACCCGCUGCUCUAAUGAACGCUGUAAUGAAGUUAUUUGCAGACUGCAUACAUUUACUGAAACACCAGUGAGCUCAUAUGAUACUGUUGGCUGUGAAUUGUUUUGUGGCUGAUAAAACUGCUGUGUUCUUACUCUAGUAAAUGAAGCCAUUGGUCCAUUUUAUUUCUCAUAUGCUUUGAUGGCAGUGUUGAACUUUUGAUUUGCAAAGAGAAAAAAGAAAAUCCCCUAAGUCGAGAUGUUACAAGAGCGAAGCAGAAAAUUAUACCAUGUAAGGACAUAAUCUGUCCAUGAACUUUCUAAAUGGAAGAUCAUGCAAAUAAUGGACUGAAGUCAUCCUAGCCUUCAAAAGACCCACGCUGGGGGGGGGGGGGAUAACAGAAGGAGACAAAAAAGCUGUCUCAUGUAAUCCAAUCUCUAUCUUUCUGUAUGACUUCCUUAUCCUCCCUAACAACAUUUUGUCCACAAAAUAUCAUGGGAAGAAACAAGUGAAAGAAGGAAAAAAAUGGGAGGAAACAUUUAAGUUAUGCCU